UGUCUUGAAAGCUUGAAGCAUUUUACCUUGUAAGUAAAAGGAGACCAGUUAAAUUCUGGUUCAAGACUC
rnacentral:tRNA from 1 species